rnacentral:rRNA from 1 species
AUUGAACGCUGGCGGCAGGCCUAACACAUGCAAGUCGAACGGUAACAGGAAGAAGCUUGCUUCUUUGCUGACGAGUGGCGGACGGGUGAGUAAUGUCUGGGAAACUGCCUGAUGGAGGGGGAUAACUACUGGAAACGGUAGCUAAUACCGCAUAACGUCGCAAGACCAAAAAGGGGGACCUUCGGGCCUCUUGCCAUCGGAUGUGCCCAGAUGGGAUUAGCUAGUAGGUGGGGUAACGGCUCACCUAGGCGACGAUCCCUAGCUGGUCUGAGAGGAUGACCAGCCACACUGGAACUGAGACACGGUCCAGACUCCUACGGGAGGCAGCAGUGGGGUAUAUUGCACAAUGGGCGCAAGCCUGAUGCAGCCAUGCCGCGUGUAUGAAGAAGGCCUUCGGGUUGUAAAGUACUUUCAGCGGGGAGGAAGGGAGUAAAGUUAAUACCUUUGCUCAUUGACGUUACCCGCAGAAGAAGCACCGGCUAACUCCGU